CUUCUCGUAGCUUAGUGGUAGAGUGCUGAUGCAUAAAACCGGGAGCCCGGGUUCUAUUCCCGGCGAAGAAG
rnacentral:tRNA from 1 species